rnacentral:misc_RNA from 1 species
GAUGAAGAACGCAUUGAAAUGCGAUAAGUAGUGUGAAUUGCAGAAUUCAGUGAAUCAUCGAAUCUUUGAACGCACAUUGCGCCCCUUGGUAUCCCGAGGGGCAUGCCUGUUCGAGCGUCAUUUCACCACUCAAGCCUGGCUUGGUGUUGGGCGACGUCCCCUUUGGGGACGCGCCUCGAAACGCUCGGCGGCGUGGCACCGGCUUUAAGCGUAGCAGAAUCUUUCGCUUUGGAAGUCGGGGCCCCGUCUGCCGGAAGACCUACUCGCAAGGUUGACCUCGGAUCAGGCAGGGAUACCCGCUGAACUUAAGCAUAUCAAUAAGCGGAGGA